GGUCCUGCCUUAAUGCAACUUCAGGAGGGGAGAAGAUCCUUUAACAAUGCAGGGUUAAGACUUCACAAAAUAUCAAAAAUCAUGACCAGGACUAUAGCUAGCUAUUACCUGAGUUAACUGAAGUAAAGGUUUCUUACUUCUGAGAGCUCUGCUUAGAGACAGGAUACAUUACACGUGCAUCAGAGGAUACUGCUCCAUCAAGACAGAGAAAGAGGAGUGAGUCAUCCAGGGUCGUCUUCUCCCUCCAUAGAUGGAAUCUUCUCUGUGGUACCCAGGGCUUUGCUGUCUCUAGACUGUAUGUAGACUGCAUCUGGUAGUUCUUUGGAAAACUAAAGAGCCCUGGCACAUGAAGAGAAAGGAGACAAUAGUCACACACCCAGACUGUGCCCCUCACACAGAAACAGAAAAUACACAAUGCUUUUUUGCUACCAGGACGGUGGACUGAGUGUGAAGGUUCCAAGUGUGAAGACUGCAUGUGUGACAGGAAGGCAGCUGGACCCUGAGAUAUGGGUUUGUGUUUCUAUGACCCCGCCUUCCUUCAAAACUGCAAAUUAUCAUUUCACCUGUAGUGGCAAUGUUUGGUUAUAAUAGAGACAGUCUGUCUGAGUCUGCAGGGUUUAACAGAAAACUGUCAGAUCACGUUUCCUUUGGAAAAAUUCCAAGACCAGGCAGUGGCACCACCCUGACCCAUCUCCCACUCCCUCCCACUACUCUGUCUCCAGAACAACUGAGAGAACAGCAGAGUUCAGGGCUGAUAAUCACUAUUUCUGGACACCUGCACUCAGAGAGAGGACUUCAAUUUGGCAAGCCAAUUUCUAUCUUCCUUGUUAAAAUGUGUGCCUCAUGAGAAACUUGCAGCAUUCUACCUUCCAUUUCUGGGGAGUGUACUGAUUGUCCUUCAUGGUGAAAACAAACAAAAUACAUGAAUGAAUCCAAGUGAAUAAUCUACCCGAGUCUGUCAAAAUGGCUAUUCUCUCCUUGCUAUCUUUUUUUCUUUAUAGACAGAAAGGCCUUUCUCUAUUCUAUCCUUCUCUUCUCACUUAGUUGCUCUCUCAUGCAGGAUUAUUCUUAAAAUCAUUAAGGUAAGCAAAGAAACACAGAGAACCCUUUGUUCCUGGAAUUACAAGGACUAGCAUCUAUAACCCCUUGGGAAAGAUAUAUACACAUAAUAACCAACUCCCAGAGUAUUUUCCAAUUGGCUCACAAAAUGUGAAGUUCCUAGCACAAAACCCCACAGUAUAUGCACCCUACCAUACAUCUGAGUACAUACUAGAUGCUCUAGAAACAUUUACCUGUUUUACUGUAGUAUAGUCAACACACAAUGUUACAUUAGUUUCAGGUGCGCAACAUAGUGACUGUACAAGUCUGUAUGUUAUCCUAUGCUCAGCAUUAAGUGUAAAUAUUAUCUGCCAUCUUACAACACUAUCACAAAAUCAUUGCUUCUAUUCCUUAUGCUCUACCUUUCACCUUCAUGACUUUUUCAUUCUGUGACUGGAAGGCUGCACUUCCUACUCCCUUCACCCAUUUUGCUAUCCUCCCACUCUACUCCAUUCUGGCAACCACCAAUUUGUUCCAGAGACAUUUAUUUCAUAAAUAAAUGAAUGUUUUUUCCAAAUAGUCUCGUUCAGAUAUUAUGGUUGUCUCUAGUCCCCUCUCAGGCUAACAAGGGACAACUGAGGACAUAAUCUCUCAGGGAAGUCUAUACUGGGAACAAAUAACAUACUACAAUAUGUGUGUCAGAACCAUCUGAAGAUGUGUACAAGUUCAUUAGGUCUACUCCCUUAGUAAAAAUCAUUUGUAUAGCUUUUGUGUAUAUGAAAAAAAUCUUUUGUAUAGCUUUUGUGUAUAUAAUU